rnacentral:rRNA from 1 species
AUUGAACGCUGGCGGCAUGCCUUACACAUGCAAGUCGAACGGUAACGGGCCUUCGGGUGCCGACGAGUGGCGAACGGGUGAGUAAUACAUCGGAACGUGCCCGAUCGUGGGGGAUAACGAGGCAAAAGCUUUGCUAAUACCGCAUACGAUCUACGGAUGAAAGCAGGGGACCGCAAGGCCUUGCGCGGACGGAGCGGCCGAUGGCAGAUUAGGUAGUUGGUGGGAUAAAAGCUUACCAAGCCGACGAUCUGUAGCUGGUCUGAGAGGAUGAUCAGCCACACUGGGACUGAGACACGGCCCAGACACCUACGGGAGGCAGCAGUGGGGAAUGUUGGACAAUGGGCGCAAGCCUGAUCCAGCCAUGCCGCGUGCAGGAUGAAGGCCUUCGGGUUGUAAACUGCUUUUGUACGGAACGAAAAGCCUUCUUCUAAUACAGGAGGGUCAUGACGGUACCGUAAGAAUAAGCACCGGCUAACUACGUGCCAGCCGCCGCCGUAA